GCCCCGAGCUGCGGCCCGUCUCACGAGGGAGGCCGCUGUUGUUGACAAGGGCCCCGGAGACAGCAAGGGAUGGGGCCCUGCUGCUGGUUAAUGAACCAAGAGGAGAUGGCUGCGUCCAUGAGGAGAAGGAGUUGUGUUAGGGUCCUCUCCCCUUUGACUGGGACUUCUCGUCGUCUGAUGUCUUUUCUGGGCUGCAGAUUGAUCCUGAUACUCUGGUGAAAAAGCUGGAUUUGGACUCCAGAAGCAUCAUUUCAUCUAGAACAGGGUGGCAAUAUCCAAGCCCAUGAAUGUCAGAAGUGGAACAGCCUUCUUGAGACUGUCAAGCAUUUUGCUUCUGGCACAGUGACUUGGAUCAGUCCUACCUCCUGAAGAUGUCCUGAUUCUGCUUUUCACUCUUUCUUUGGGGUCUACUGAGAAGUUGGCAUUUCUCAUCUCUUAGCUGUGACCUUUUAGCAAAAGGAGAACUAAAAGGAAGUUCCUCAUCAGGAAAGGAAAGUGGAACAAAGCCAGACAAGUGUGACAUAGCACUUGGCAGCUCUUGGCACA